UAGUUGCACCCUACAACUCUAUGAGGAGGUGCAGGCAUCAUUCAUCUUUGUCAUAAGCCAUAGUCUAUUUCUACCAAUGGAAGCCAUCAGAACUUCACAACAACUGUUCCGGUGAAACGCAACUCCAUCAACACCUCCCCAGUCCGAUCUUAUCCUCAACCUCUUUCCCCAGUGACUCCUUCCUCUGUAAACUCCUCCAGCGAUCACCUAUGUAGACAAGAAAUCUCAUUUAAGCACAUGGUCAAAUUCAGGGUUCAGGGAGAGAUAAGGUAAGAGGUACAGAUGGAGACAGACCACAGAGGGCCUUGGUGUCUAAAUUAUGGUGAUUACAUUUGUUCUGUGGACAAGAAGAAUGAAUAGAUUUGUGCUGUGGACAAAGGAGUUGAAUGAUCAGCUUUGCUUUGGGGGAAGAUCACCCGGACACGGUGUGCAAGCUGACUGAAAAUAAAGAAGGCCACAGGCAUUCAAGUUGACAGAUUAGCAAUUGGCCAGGGAAUCACCAGAAAAGAACUAUACUAGAUUAUAGUACAAUAGAAAAAUCUUUCUGUCCUUUGGUUUAUAUGCACAUCUUGCCUUGUUCUUG